CGUGACUGUUCCAGGCUAUGGCUGGCAGUGUGUCAGGGACGCAGCUGUUGCUACAUUUGGAGACGAUUAGCUGUGGAAAGGAGAAACGUUAGAAGAGUAUGAAUCUUACUUGCGACAUGAAUAUUCCUGAGGAGCAAAGGAAUCUUCACUUCUAUUCACUUUGCGAUGGAUGGGGAAUAUUCCUCCGAUGACUACAUCUCCCAUGGCAGUGGCUCCCGGUGCUUUGAUGUCGUUUUGCCAGGCGUUCCCUUUGCUUAGAAGAAUAGAGACUAAGAUGAUGAAUAAAUUCGAGGUCAUGGUGUCUUCUGGUUGAAGAAACUUUCUGUGAGU